GCGCCAGUCGUCUAGCCUGGUAGGACACGAGCUUCCCAAGCUCGGAGCCCGGGUUCAAAUCCCGGCUGGCGCA
rnacentral:tRNA from 1 species